rnacentral:rRNA from 1 species
UAGUCCACGCCGUAAACGAUGACAACUAACUAUUGCGGGUAUUGACUCCUGCAGUGGUACAGCUAACGCGUUAAGUUGUCCGCCUGGGGAGUACGGUCGCAAGACUAAAACUCAAAGGAAUUGACGGGGGCCCGCACAAGCGGUGGAUUAUGUGGUUUAAUUCGAAGCAACGCGCAAAACCUUACCUGGGCUUGAAAUCCGGAGAAGGACUUAGAAGUAAGUCUGUGCCCUUCGGGGAAUUCCGUGACAGGCGCUGCAUGGCUGUCGUCAGCUCGUGUUGUGAAAUGUUGGGUUAAGUCUCGCAACGAGCGCAACCCCUAUCCUUAGUUGCCAGCAUUAAGUUGGGCACUCUAGAGAGACUGCCUGGGGUUAACCAGGAGGAAGGUGGGGAUGGACGUCAAGUCCUCAUGGCCCUUAUGUCCAGGGCUACACACGUAAUACAAUGGAUAGCACAGAGGGACGCUAACCCGCGAGGGGGAGCGAAAUCUCAAAAACUAAUUCUCAGUCCGGAUUGGAGUCUGCAACUCGA